CUUCAAUUCAUAUUCCACUUGUUGGAGUGUUUUCAUCAUUAUGACAUCAUUUGAUUCUCUCUACUAACUCAAGAAACAGGAAAGAAUACAUAAUGUUACUCCUAUUUUACAGAACUAGCUGUUGAAAUACAUGUUUGCUUUUCCCCAAUCAUAAGAAUUGCUGAACACUCUAAAAGCACCAGGCCUGAGGCCAAGGUCCACUUCGUCUUGGUACAGGAAGAGCUGCAUUCCAUCUGUUCUGGCCUCGAGGAAGCUUGCACAAAUCUAUCUUCCCUUUGCGUGUCUUAUGAAACUCCAUGACCCUUUAUGAAAUCUAAUAGAGGAAUUCCAUUUCCACCGGUAGAGGAGUGUCCAUCAAUAGCUUGCUGAUCAAUGGCUUUCCCCUGAAGGAAGCAGAGAGAAACAGCCAGAUGAGAAAAUGGACAUACGGCAUAUAGGUUCUGAAAACAGUCCAAUUAUGCCACA